rnacentral:rRNA from 1 species
GACGAACGCUGGCGGCGUGCUUAACACAUGCAAGUCGAACGGAAAGGCCCUGCUUUUGUGGGGUGCUCGAGUGGCGAACGGGUGAGUAACACGUGAGUAACCUGCCCUUGACUUUGGGAUAACUUCAGGAAACUGGGGCUAAUACCGGAUAGGAGCUCCUGCUGCAUGGUGGGGGUUGGAAAGUUUCGGCGGUUGGGGAUGGACUCGCGGCUUAUCAGCUUGUUGGUGGGGUAGUGGCUUACCAAGGCUUUGACGGGUAGCCGGCCUGGGAGGGUGACCGGCCACAUUGGGACUGAGAUACGGCCCAGACGCCUACGGGAGGCAGAAGUGGGGAAUAUUGCACAAUGGGCGGAAGCCUGAUGCAGCAACGCCGCGUGCGGGAUGACGGCCUUCGGGUUGUAAACCGCUGUCGCCUGUGACGAAGCGGGAGUGACGGUAAUGGGUAAAGAAGCACCGGCUAACUACGUG